rnacentral:rRNA from 1 species
UACGUAGGGUGCAAGCGUUAAUCGGAAUUACUGGGCGCAAAGCGUGCGUAGGUGGUUUGUUAAGUCUGAUGUGAAAGCCCUGGGCUCAACCUGGGAAUUGCAUUGGAUACUGGCAGGCUAGAGUGCGGUAGAGGGUAGUGGAAUUCCCGGUGUAGCAGUGAAAUGCGUAGAGAUCGGGAGGAACAUCUGUGGCGAAGGCGACUACCUGGACCAGCACUGACACUGAGGCACGAAAGCGUGGGGAGCAAACAGG